AUUAAAGUGGCAGAGCCUGGUAAUUGCAAGAGACCUAAAAUCUCUCAAUCAGGAGUUCAAAUCCCCUCUUUAAU
rnacentral:tRNA from 1 species